UCCAGACUCCUACGGGAGGCAGCAGUGGGGAAUAUUGCACAAUGGGGGGAACCCUGAUGCAGCGACGCCGCGUGAGUGAAGAAGUAUUUCGGUAUGUAAAGCUCUAUCAGCAGGGAAGAAAAUGACGGUACCUGACUAAGAAGCCCCGGCUAACUACGUGCCAGCAGCCGCGGUAAUACGUAGGGGGCAAGCGUUAUCCGGAUUUACUGGGUGUAAAGGGAGCGUAGACGGCAGAGCAAGUCUGAAGUGAAAGCCCGCGGCCCAACUGCGGGACUGCUUUGGAAACUGUGUUGCUGGAGUGCUGGAGAGGCAAGCGGAAUUCCUAGUGUAGCGGUGAAAUGCGUAGAUAUUAGGAAGAACACCAGUGGCGAAGGCGGCUUGCUGGACAGUAACUGACGUUGAGGCUCGAAAGCGUGGGGAGCAAACAGGAUUAGAUACCCCCGUAC
rnacentral:rRNA from 1 species